rnacentral:rRNA from 1 species
UGGGGAAUAUUGCACAAUGGGCGCAAGCCUGAUGCAGCCAUGCCGCGUGUAUGAAGAAGGCCUUCGGGUUGUAAAGUACUUUCAGCGAGGAGGAAGGCGGUAAGGUUAAUAACCUUAUCGAUUGACGUUACUCGCAGAAGAAGCACCGGCUAACUCCGUGCCAGCAGCCGCGGUAAUACGGAGGGUGCAAGCGUUAAUCGGAAUUACUGGGCGUAAAGCGCACGCAGGCGGUCUGUCAAGUCGGAUGUGAAAUCCCCGGGCUCAACCUGGGAACUGCAUUCGAAACUGGCAGGCUAGGGUCUUGUAGAGGGGGGUAGAAUUCCAGGUGUAGCGGUGAAAUGCGUAGAGAUCUGGAGGAAUACCGGUGGCGAAGGCGGCCCCCUGGACAAAGACUGACGCUCAGGUGCGAAAGCGUGGGGAGCAAACA